rnacentral:tRNA from 1 species
GCGCUGUUAGCUCAGCUGGUAGAGCAGUGGCCUCUUAAGCCAACGGUCGCAGGUUCGAUCCCUGCACAGCGCA